UGACACACAGGUGAAGUAUCACUGGUAACGUAUGUUCUGCUAUUUUGAUUGAACUCGAUUCAAUCUGCAUUAUUGUCCGAAAGAGGUUUGAGGGUGUCGUCUGUAAUUAUUACAAAAUCAUGGACAUUGAAUUAAGAUAUAGAUGCAUGCUAACAUUUAUUUUUAAAAAUCAUUUCAUAUUUAUAAUGUAUUCUCACAUAUUUUCUAGCAAGGUCAAUUUGUAAAAAAAGGCAAAGGACUCUCUUUGUGCUAAUGUCACGUGAAUCAGGUUUCAGACCAACUGCACUCGGCCGUUAAUUAAAAACUGCGUGACUUAUUAUGUUCUGAUGUAUUUGAGGCUCCAGCUGGCGACACCGUAAACAACGGAGAAUGUCCUCUAGACUUUGGGUUCGUCUGAGAUCGGCAAAGAAUAAACGUAAUGAUGCUGUCAUCAAAGCAGUGCCUUUGGGAAAUCCCCCUGAAGUCCGGGGAGUCGAUGAGAGCGGGGCGAAGAGAGACUCGGCCGAGGAGCAGCAAUUAGCCUCGGGACGCAGAGCUGCACGUCUGCCGACGCACAACCGCCGACGCACAACCGCCGACGGGAGCGGAUGGACUGGGGACGAGUCUGAGGGAGAGCCUCUGCUCAUUAGACAACAGCACAGCGGCUUCAGAGGCCCCUGGCGGGCACAGGAGCCCGGGAGGAACCGGCACAGCAGGCUGCCAAUAUAAAUACACACUAGAUGGACGUGGUUUGCGCGUGGCGGGGUGUUUGUGUACACAUGCGUGGGUGGAUGGAUGUGUGUGUGUGUGUGUGUGUAUGAACAUGCGAGUCCAUCCGUACCCUGUGUGCACUCAGACGUGAUGAGCCACUCGUCUGCCAUUGUGGGUCAUUAGUGUUAGUGAAGCGAAAGGUAAAAACACAUCUACAGCGGGAUAAUCGGGAAGAGGAGCACGUGGAGUUUGCGUAUGUGUGUGUGUUAUUCCCUUUUUUUCCCCUGAGGGGUUAUUUGGGAGUUUUUCCUGAUCCGAUGCGAGGUUUUGGGGCAGGGAUGUCUAUGUGUACAGAUUGUAAAGCACUCCGAGACAAAUUUGUAAUUUGUGAAAUUGGGCUAUACAAAUAAACUGAAUUGAAUUUA